rnacentral:rRNA from 1 species
GUAGGGAAUCUUCCGCAAUGGACGCAAGUCUGACGGAGCAACGCCGCGUGAGUGAAGAAGGUUUUCGGAUCGUAAAACUCUGUUGUUAGAGAAGAACAAGUGCUAGAGUAACUGUUAGCGCCUUGACGGUAUCUAACCAGAAAGCCACGGCUAACUACGUGCCAGCAGCCGCGGUAAUACGUAGGUGGCAAGCGUUGUCCGGAUUUAUUGGGCGUAAAGCGAGCGCAGGCGGUUCCUUAAGUCUGAUGUGAAAGCCCCCGGCUCAACCGGGGAGGGUCAUUGGAAACUGGGGAACUUGAGUGCAGAAGAGGAGAGUGGAAUUCCAUGUGUAGCGGUGAAAUGCGUAGAUAUAUGGAGGAACACCAGUGGCGAAGGCGACUCUCUGGUCUGUAACUGACGCUGAGGCUCGAAAGCGUGGGUAGCAAACAGGAUUAGAUACCCCAGUAGUCC